GGACUUCGGUCCUUAGUAGAGCGGCGAACGGGUGAGUAACACGUGGGUAACCUGCCUGGGAGUGGGGGAUAACCUGGGGAAACUCGGGCUAAUACCGCAUACGUUCCCGGAGCUACGGCUCCGGGAGGAAAGAUGGCCUCUGCUUGCAAGCUAUCUCUCCCAGGGGGGCCCGCGGCUGAUUAGCUAGUUGGUGAGGUAACGGCUCACCAAGGCGACGAUCAGUAGCCGGCCUGAGAGGGUGAUCGGCCACACUGGAACUGAGACACGGUCCAGACUCCUACGGGAGGCAGCAGUGGGGAAUAUUGGACAAUGGGGGAAACCCUGAUCCAGCAACGCCGCGUGGGGGAUGAAGGUCUUCGGAUUGUAAACCCCUGUUGAGAGGGACGAAGGUUUGAGGGCAAACAGCUCGCAAACUUGACGGUACCUCGAGAGGAAGCCCCGGCUAACUCUGUGCCAGCCGCCGCGGUAA
rnacentral:rRNA from 1 species